CCUUUAGGAAACAGUCAAGUCACAAACCCUAGAAGCUGACCCUCAUAGAUCAUGGAUCCUCAGCCUCAGCCAGAGCAAGUCAAGUACACCUGCGGAGGUUGUGGGGAAGAAGUCACUUUGAAGCCAAGCGAAAAGGUUCAGUGCCGUCACUGCGAUUACACUAUCUUGUACAAGAAGCGUACUCGUCGUAUCAUGGAGUUUCUGGCACGCUAGGAGAAAAUUUGGGAUGAAUGAGCAUGGAAUAAUUAUAUAUACAACUGAGCCAUGUGGGUUGGGAGAUUUAUCAGCAAUUAGUAUAUAGAAAAGAAUGUUAGUAAGGCAAUGUGACCAGUUUACGGCUUGGUGUUUAAAAUAAUAUCAUAUUUUAAUUGAUGUCUGUUUUUUUUUCUUUUUUGUCACUUGGUGAUUAAAAUAGUGUCUUCGCUGUUGAUGAGCUUACAAGUCCAUAAGCAACUGGUAUUGUUCAGCUGUAACUAUAUGAACAUAUUUUAGAAGAGCAUAAGAAACUUGGGAAAUAGAAUGAUCAUGAUGCUGCAAGUCAUUCUACAAAGCUCCACAUAAGAGCAUCCACAGUGGGGGGUG